rnacentral:rRNA from 1 species
GUCACGCUGUAAACGAUGUCGAUUUGGAGUUUGGGGGCAUGACCCUUGGGCUCCGGAGCUAACGCGUUAAAUCGACCGCCUGGGGAGUACGGCCGCAAGGUUAAAACUCAAAUGAAUUGACGGGGGCCCGCACAAGCGGUGGAGCAUGUGUUAAUUCGAUGCAACGCGAAGAACCUUACCUGGUCUUGACAUCCAUAGAAUCUUUCAGAGAUGAGAGAGUGCCUUCGGGAGCUAUGAGACAGGUGCUGCAUGGCUGUCGUCAGCUCGUGUUGUGAAAUGUUGGGUUAAGUCCCGCAACGAGCGCAACCCCUAUCCUUUGUUGCCAGCACGUAAUGGUGGGAACUCAAAGGAGACUGCCGUUGAUAAAGCGGAGGAAGGUGGGGACGACGUCAAGUCAUCAUGGCCCUUACGACCAGGGCUACACACGUGCUACAAUGGCGUAUACAAAGGGAUGCGAAGGUGCGAACUGGAGCGGACCUCACAAAGUACGUCUAAGUCCGGAUUGGAGUCUGCAACUCGACUCCAUGAAGUCGGAAUCGCUAGUAAUCGUGAAUCAGAAUGUCACGGUGAAUACGUUCCCGGGCCUUGUACACACCGCCCGUCACACCAUGGGAGUGGGUUGCACCAGAAGUAGAUAGCUUAACCUUCGGGAGGGCGUUUACCACGGUGUGGUUCAUGACUGGGGUGAAGUCGUAACAAGGUAACCA